rnacentral:rRNA from 1 species
GAUGAACGCUGGCGGCGUGCCUAAUACAUGCAAGUCGAGCGAACGGACGAGAAGCUUGCUUCUCUGAUGUUAGCGGCGGACGGGUGAGUAACACGUGGAUAACCUACCUAUAAGACUGGGAUAACUUCGGGAAACCGGAGCUAAUACCGGAUAAUAUUUUGAACCGCAUGGUUCAAAAGUGAAAGACGGUCUUGCUGUCACUUAUAGAUGGAUCCGCGCUGCAUUAGCUAGUUGGUAAGGUAACGGCUUACCAAGGCAACGAUGCAUAGCCGACCUGAGAGGGUGAUCGGCCACACUGGAACUGAGACACGGUCCAGACUCCUACGGGAGGCAGCAGUAGGGAAUCUUCCGCAAUGGGCGAAAGCCUGACGGAGCAACGCCGCGUGAGUGAUGAAGGUCUUCGGAUCGUAAAGCUCUGUUAUUAGGGAAGAACAUAUGUGUAAGUAACUGUGGACAUCUUGACGGUACCUAAUCAAAAAGCCACGGCUAACUACGUG